rnacentral:lncRNA from 1 species
AUUAUGCCAGCUUUUCUCAUUUAUUAUUAUUUCUUAAAAUUUUGGAGUUAACUAGGCUCAACUAGGUAGUUUGCUCUCAGAAUCUCUUAGGCAGUUGCAAUCACAGAACAGCCAGUACUGGUAUUCUCUGGCUGGCUUUGUUACUCAAAUCUCUGGCAGUUAAUGGUGGGGUCUUCUCUGAGAUCUCAGAGAGGAUGUUGGCCUGAAUGUUUAUAUGUGAGCUUUCCAUGUGGCCUGAGCUUCCUCAUAGCAUGGUGAUUGAAUUCUAAGGAUGCGUGUUUCAAGAGAAAGGGGUAGGUAGACACUGUAAUACCUUUUAUGACAUAACAUGUCAGAGGUCAAAUAGCAUUACACUCACCAUAAUCUAUUAGUCAAGGCAGUCACAAAGACCCUUCCUGUCCAAGGGGAAGGUCCCCAGGCUCUGUCUCUUGUGAGGAGCAUGGCAUGGUUAUAGCAGAACAUACGUUAUGUUAGAUUCUAGGAGAAGAAGACACAAUCUCCAACUUCGAUGCUGAUCUAAGAAAAUAACUGUAACAGUGUGUUCAAAGUCACGUUGGAGAGGAAAGCCCAGGUACAACAUUGGAGUUCAGCAGGAGAAAGGUGGAAGGAACAAUGCACUCCAUCUGAAAGAAACCAGGGAACGCUCAACUUCUAGAACUGUCCUUGUGGAAUAACUGUUUGGAAGUCGGGAAGACCACCGGAAUGACAAAACAACGAUCACAACAAAAACAAACACAAACUGAAACAGCAGCAGCUGGUAGUUCUACACAUGUUAGCACACCCACAGAUGGAGAAAACUUACAUGAAAAGUGAUGAGGCUUUUGUUUGAUUCCAGACAUGUCUUCCUCAGCAAUUGAUGCCAUUGUUAUGUUAUAAAAGAUUUUUAGCCAUGAGAAAGACGGAAAUUCUGCUAUUUGCAACAACAUGGAUGAACCUGGAGGGCAUUAUGCUAAGUGAAAUAAGUCCGUCAGAGAAAGAUAAAUACUGCAUGGUACCACUCAUAUGUGGAAUCUAAAAGAAAGCCAAACUCAUAGAAACAGAGUAGAAAAGUGGUUGCCAGGAAUUGGGGAAUGGGAAAAAUAGCAAGAGGUUGGUAAAAGGGUAGGAACUUUCAGCAAUAAAAUGAAUAAGAUCUUAGGAUCUAAUGAAAAAUAUGAUGACUAUAGUUGAUAACGUUGUGUUUGAUCACCGAUAUUUGCUAAGAGAAUAGAAUUUAAAUGUUUUCACACACCCAAAAAACCCAUAAACAUGGGAGGUGAUAUACCUGGAUGUGUUAAUUUACUUAACGGGAGAGAAUUCUUUCACUACUUAUACU